rnacentral:rRNA from 1 species
CCUACGGGUGGCAGCAGUGAGGAAUAUUGGUCAAUGGGCGCGAGCCUGAACCAGCCAAGUAGCGUGAAGGAUGACUGCCCUACGGGUUGUAAACUUCUUUUAUAAAGGAAUAAAGUGCGGCACGUCUGCCUUUUUGUAUGUACUUUAUGAAUAAGGAUCGGCCAACUCCGUGCCAGCAGCCGCGGUAAUCCGGAGGGUCCGAGCGUUAUCCGGAUUUAUUGGGUUUAAAGGGAGCGUAGAUGGGUUGUUAAGUCAGGUGUGAAAGUUUGCGGCUCAACCGUAAAAUUGCAAUUGAUACUGGCAGGCGGGAGUGCAGUUGGGGUAGGCGGAAUUCGUGGUGUAGCGGUGAAAUGCUUAGAUAUCACGAAGAACUCCGAUUGCGAAGGCAGCUUACUAAACUGCAACUGACAUUGAUGCUCGAAAGUGUGGGGAUCAAACAGGAUUAGAUACCCGGGUAGUC